CCUACUCUCGACAUCCAGAGAACUUUCCAGAGAUGGAUUGGUGCCUUCGGGAACUCUGAGACAGGUGCUGCAUGGCUGUCGUCAGCUCGUGUUGUGAAAUGUUGGGUUAAGUCCCGCAACGAGCGCAACCCUUAUCCUUGUUUGCCAGCACGUAAUGGUGGGAACUCCAGGGAGACUGCCGGUGAUAAACCGGAGGAAGGUGGGGACGACGUCAAGUCAUCAUGGCCCUUACGAGUAGGGCUACACACGUGCUACAAUGGCGUAUACAGAGGGCUGCCAACUAGCGAUAGUGAGCGAAUCCCAGAAAGUACGUCGUAGUCCGGAUUGGAGUCUGCAACUCGACUCCAUGAAGUCGGAAUCGCUAGUAAUCGUGAAUCAGAAUGUCACGGUGAAUACGUUCCCGGGCCUUGUACACACCGCCCGUCACACCAUGGGAGUGGGCUGCACCAGAAGUAGAUAGCUUAACCUUCGGGAGGGCGUUUACCACGGUGUGGUUCAUGAGCUGGGGUGAAGUCGUAACAAGGUAACCAGAGGG
rnacentral:rRNA from 1 species